AGAACAUCUAUGGAUUCUAAAAGACUACGGAGAGAAUCAGAGAGAGCACUACACUGGUCAAUUACAGAAUUCAAGUCAGAUGAGGGACAGAACAAGUACUCAGUGGGAAGUAACUGUACUUCCCUGGAGCUGAUGAACUAUGGAACUGAGGCUACUCCCAGAGUACAUGUAGAUGUUUCCCCACCAACUUUACAAGGAACCUGGUGGCAGCUGGGUUUCACAGAAUUAAUGUCUGUAGAAGAAGCCAGAGACAUAAGGUCAUAAAGACCUGGAAGGACCCAACUGGAGAAGUCUGUCACCAUUGUCUACUGGGAGAUUUCAUCUAAAUAAACGUGUUCCAGAGGAAAGGUGUGCUCUCCCC
rnacentral:lncRNA from 1 species